rnacentral:rRNA from 1 species
UGCAGUCGAGCGGAAGGCCCUUCGGGGUACUCGAGCGGCGAACGGGUGAGUAACACGUGAGUAACCUGCCCCAGGCUUUGGGAUAACCCCGGGAAACCGGGGCUAAUACCGGAUAUGACCAUCUGUCGCAUGGUGGGUGGUGGAAAGAUUUUUUGGCUUGGGAUGGGCUCGCGGCCUAUCAGCUUGUUGGUGGGGUGAUGGCCUACCAAGGCGGCGACGGGUAGCCGGCCUGAGAGGGCGACCGGCCACACUGGGACUGAGACACGGCCCAGACUCCUACGGGAGGCAGCAGUGGGGAAUCUUGCACAAUGGGCGGAAGCCUGAUGCAGCGACGCCGCGUGAGGGAUGACGGCCUUCGGGUUGUAAACCUCUUUCAGCAGGGACGAAGCGUUUGUGACGGUACCUGCAGAAGAAGCGCCGGCCAACUACGUGCCAGCAGCCGCGGUAAGACGUAGGGCGCAAGCGUUGUCCGGAUUUAUUGGGCGUAAAGAGCUCGUAGGCGGCUUGUCGCGUCGACUGUGAAAACCCGUGGCUCAACUGCGGGCUUGCAGUCGAUACGGGCAGGCUAGAGUUCGGUAGGGGAGACUGGAAUUCCUGGUGUAGCGGUGAAAUGCGCAGAUAUCAGGAGGAACACCGGUGGCGAAGGCGGGUCUCUGGGCCGAUACUGACGCUGAGGAGCGAAAGCGUGGGGAGCGAACAGGAUUAGAUACCCUGGUAGUCCACGCUGUAAACGUUGGGCGCUAGGUGUGGGGGGCCUCUCCGGUUCUCUGUGCCGCAGCUAACGCAUU